GACGAACGCUGGCGGCGUGCCUAACACAUGCAAGUCGAACGGUGAGGGGGCCUGCUUUUGUGGGUCCUAGAUGAGUGGCGAACGGGUGAGUAACACGUGAGUAACCUGCCACCUUCUUCUGGAUAACCGCAUGAAAGUGUGGCUAAUACGGGAUAUUCUGUGCCUGCUGCAUGGUGGGUGUGGGAGAGAUUGUGCCUUUGGGUGUUUUCGGUGGGGGAUGGGCUCGCGGCCUAUCAGCUUGUUGGUGGGGUGAUGGCCUACCAAGGCGGUGACGGGUAGCCGGCCUGAGAGGGUGGACGGUCACACUGGGACUGAGACACGGCCCAGACUACUACUGGAGGCAGCAGUGGGGAAUAUUGCACAAUGGGCGCAAGCCUGAUGCAGCGACGCCGCGUGAGGGAUGGAGGCCUUCGGGUUGUGAACCUCUUUCGCCAGUGAAGCAGGCCUGCCCCUUGGUGGGUGGGUUGACGGUAGCUGGAUAAGAAGCGCCGGCUAACUACGUGCCAGCAGCCGCGGUAACAC
rnacentral:rRNA from 1 species